UCAGUUUAGUGGGCGAACGGGUGAGUAACACCGUGAGGAACCUGCCUUUCAGUGGGGGACAACAGUUGGAAACGACUGCUAAUACCGCAUGAUGUAUGACCGAGGCAUCUCGGACAUACCAAAGGAGCAAUCCGCUGUAAGAUGGACUCGCGUCCAAUUAGAUAGUUGGUGAGGUAAUGGCUCACCAAGUCGACGAUUGGUAGCCGGACUGAGAGGUUGAACGGCCACAUUGGGACUGAGACACGGCCCAGACUCCUACGGGAGGCAGCAGUGGGGGAUAUUGCACAAUGGGGGAAACCCUGAUGCAGCAACGCCGCGUGAGGGAAGAAGGUUUUCGGAUUGUAAACCUCUGUUUUUAGUGAAGAAACAAAUGACGGUAGCUAAAGAGGAAGCCACGGCUAACUACGUG
rnacentral:rRNA from 1 species